rnacentral:rRNA from 1 species
ACUCAAAUGAAUAGACGGGGGCCCACACAAGCGGUGGAACAUGUGGUUUAAUUCGACAGCAAACGAAGAACCUUACCAGGUCUUGACAUCUAGGGAAUUUUGCAGAAAUGCAGAAGUGCCCGCAAGGGAACCCUAAGACAGGUGCUGCAUGGUUGUCGUCAGCUCGAGCCUUGAGGUGUACGGUUAAGUCCGUGAUCGAGCGCAACCCUCGCCCUUAGUUAUACAUUUCUAAGGGGACUGCCGUGCCAUAAGCCGGAGGAAGGCGAGGAUGACGUCAAAUCAGCAUGGCCCUUAUGAUCUGGGCUACACACAUGUUACAAUGGUCGAUACAAUGGGGAGCAAUAGAGCAAUCUGGAGCAAAUCCCAAAAGUCGACCUCAGUUCGGAUUGAGGGCUGCAACUCGCCCUCAUGAAGUUGGAAUCGCUAGUAACCGUGAAUCAGCUACGUCACGGUGAAUAUGUUCCUGGGCCUUGUACACACCGCCCGU